rnacentral:rRNA from 1 species
AGCAGCCGCGGUAAUUCCAGCUCCAAUAGCGUAUAUUAAAGUUGUUGCAGUUAAAAAGCUCGUAGUUGAAUUUCGGGAUUGACACAUCGGUCGUGCCUUAAGGGGUAUGAACUGGUGUAGUCAAUUUCUCACCUUCUGGAGAACCGCGAUGCCCUUAAUUGGGUGUCACGGGGAACCAGGACCUUUACUUUGAAAAAAUUAGAGUGUUUAAAGCAGGCAUUUUGCUUGAAUACAUUAGCAUGGAAUAAUAAAAUAGGACGGCAUGGUUCUAUUUUGUUGGUUUCUAGGAUCACCGUAAUGAUUAAUAGGGAUAGUUGGGGGCAUUAGUAUUCAAUUGUCAGAGGUGAAAUUCUUGGAUUUAUUGAAGACUAACUACUGCGAAAGCAUUUGCCAAGGAUGUUUUCAUUAAUCAAGAACGAAAGUUAGGGGAUCGAAGACGAUCAGAUACCGUCGUAGUCUUAACCAUAAACUAUGCCGACUAGGAAUCAGACGAUGUUAAUUUUUUAAUGACUCGUUUGGCACCUUACG